rnacentral:Y_RNA from 1 species
GGCUGGUCCAAGUGCAGUGGUGUUUACAACUAAUUGAUCACAACCAGUUACAGAUUUCUUUGUCCCUUCUCCACUCCCACUGCUUCACUUGACUAGCCUUUA